rnacentral:rRNA from 1 species
GACGAACGCUGGCGGCGUGCUUAACACAUGCAAGUCGAACGGAAAGGCCCUGCUUUUGUGGGGUGCUCGAGUGGCGAACGGGUGAGUAACACGUGAGUAACCUGCCCUUGACUUUGGGAUAACUUCAGGAAACUGGGGCUAAUACCGGAUAGGAGCUCCUGCUGCAUGGUGGGGGUUGGAAAGUUUCGGCGGUUGGGGAUGGACUCGCGGCUUAUCAGCUUGUUGGUGGGGUAGUUGCUUACCAAGGCUUUGACGGGUAGCCGGCCUGAGAGGGUGAACGGCCACAUUGGGACUGAGAUACGGCCCAGACUCCUACGGGAGGCAGCAGUGGGGAAUAUUGCACAAUGGGAGGAAGCCUGAUGCAGAAACGCCGCGUGCGGGAUGACGGCCUUCGGGUUGUAAACAGCUUUCGCCUGUGACGAAGCGUGAGUGACGGUAAUGGGUAAAGAAGCACCGGCUAACUACGUG